GAUCCUGGCUCAGGACGAACGCUGGCGGCGUGCUUAACACAUGCAAGUCGAACGGACAGACAGAGAGCUUGCUCUCUUGAAGUUAGUGGCGAACGGGUGAGUAACGCGUAAUCAACCUGCCCUUCAGAGGGGGAUAACAACGGGAAGCCGUUGCUAAUACCGCGUACGAUUCAUAGACGGCAUCGUUUGUGAAUGAAAGGUGGCCUCUAUUUAUAAGCUAUCGCUGAAGGAGGGGAUUGCGU
rnacentral:rRNA from 1 species